rnacentral:lncRNA from 1 species
UCUGAACAUGCUGGUCUGAAAGCCUCUAAACUAUCUAAGAACUAUGGAGUUAAUGGAAAUGUCCCCAACUAUCUCCAGACUACUGAAAUAAUAAAGUAAUAAAAUAAUUAUGCUAUCCUCGAAUGGUGAGGACUCACUGCUAGUUUGGCUGCUGAACAUCUGAUCUACUAAGGAUACUCUGGAGCUUGUGCUUCUGAACCUAUGGUAUAAAACAUCAUAGCAAAAAUGCGUCAGUACUAUUGAAUGUACUGGUAUGCAAGUAAGGUAGGCUGAAUGCAAGAGGUUUAUAUGCAUGAACAAUACUAACUGACUGAAAACAUGAAUGUGAGAAUACAUGCAUGUAUACGUGAACUGUGACUGAGAUCAUAACAUCGCUAAAUUUGAAUACUGAUAACAAAAGUUUUGUAUAACAGAUAUACUAUUAUCUGAAUGACUGUGUCUGGUAGUCCUAUUUCUGAUGGAACUAACUGAGUUCCGUACUGACCUGGGUGACUAUAUCUGACAGUCCUAAAUUCUGUAGAACUAUCUGAGUUCUAUUACUUAGACCGAGACUGAGACUGUAACUAUGGGAAGUAGUCAUCUAACCGACAUGCCCCAAAUAAGUUAUUAUAGCUGAGUUGGGGUCCAAUCUUAUCCCCAAUUGGAAGGGUGUCAAUAUCGCUCCAAUGGUAAGGACAAGCUGUGGGUGACCCUCAUCUGACAGUGUCCCUAAAAGAAAAUGGUCGAACCCUCAUCUGACAGUGUUAAUCCACCCUAUCAACCCUCAUCUGUCAGUGUUGAUGUCUUAACCUAUGCUGGCUACAUAGUUUCGGAAUGCAAGGAUUACUUCUAAGGAUCACACCUUCAACUGUUAGUGUGUGCCGUCAUCCUUCGGUUCACUCGGUGCUAAUUCCUACUCCCAUCUAAAUAGACACUAAAAUAUGAUUAACUAAACUAGACUGGGUUUAGUGAGUUCUGUUGAUCGAUGGAAUACUACUGAGAUUACUGAGUUACUAAGAUUUCUGAGAUUACUGGGAUUUCUGAGUUUUCCUGAGUCAUGAGUCUGACUGAAUUCUACUGAGCAUGGCUUGACUGUGAGUUUUUUAAAAACUGACACUGGUUCUAGGCACAUAGCUAAAUUGUUGGGCACAAGUACCCCCAGGACUCGAUUGCAAUAAACUGACAAGACAUGACACUUCCUGGACUCAGACCAUAAUCAACAAUCCAUAAUACAAUUAUUGGGGAAUUUCAUGAGACACUUGAUUAUCAUGGUGUGGUACAUGAAUAGGAAUGCAUAUAAAUAUAUCAUAAUUUCAUAGGGCUAAUUUCAUGAACUAUACAUCAAACAAUUUCAAUGCAUAACAAUAACAUAGAAGUUAUUUUGAAUAUAAGGGUAAAGCAUGGGUUCAUCAAUUUGGUCAUAAUUGAGUCCUAAAGCAUGAUUCUUGUUCUCUUGGGCAUUUUAUCAAACACAUUGCAUGCAUAACCUUAGGCUUAGGCAUAUACACUGGUUCAUACAUCAUGGUUACUUUAAUCAACUCUAUUUAAGAGUUUUCAACCCACAUACUAGCAUAAUUACAUGAAAAGUACAUAAAGACUCUAACUUGGGAUUCACACAACCACAUCAACAUAAUUAAAAUCAACCCACCAUAUGGAAAUCAUAAUUCGUGGGUUUAAAAUGGGAUUCUUAAGCUUCAUGGGUGAAAGAAAUCCAUGAAUCAACACUUUACAUACCUGGGUGGAUGAUUUUUUGAAGAUUGGUGGAGGAAAUCUUGAAUUCUUGACUUGGGAUUAAACACCUAGGGUUUUUUGUUCUUGGGGAUUGAUCUUUGAGAGAAACCCUAAUUUGGUGUUGUGGAUGAAUAAAGAAGUUAUGAGCUCUGGUUUGGUAUAAUUAGGGGUUAAAACUGGUGGAAAAAGACCUAAAUACCCUUUUAAAAAUGGCUUAAAAUCACUGAACGGAAGUGGCGGUGGUUUGGACGACGGUCCGUCGUUGGCUUGACGGUCCGUCGGUCCAUCCUAUCGUACUUGGACAGAACCUGAACUUGCUGCCUCAUCAGCGAUGGUCUGUCGCUAGCUCGACGGUCCAUCGAUCCUGGCCGUUGUACUUGACUAGAAGUUGGGUUCACUGUCUUAGUCGCGAUGGCUUGGGUGAUGGUCCGUCGCUAGCUCGACGGUCCAUUGGACUGACCGUUGCUUCUGGGCAGUUCCAAUAGUUCUUUGUAAAAUGUCCAUAACUCUUUACUCCAAUACUGGAUUUGGAUGAAUUUGGUAUCGUUGGAAAGCUAAUUUAAUUUCCCACAUGAUAAAAUGUUGAAAUUGGGGAAAUUAUAUCUAAUUUAAACAUUAAUCAUUUAGGAAGUCAUCACUAACUCUUCUACAGACUAGAUUUGACUUAAAGGAAGUUUGGGGUAUUACAGGAAAACACUCUGCUCAAAAGUGUGAAAAAGCACGACCUACAACCUCUAUAUGAUUUACCAUAAACUUUACUAAAAUAAAAGCCUCUCAACAAUCGAUUACAAACUCUGUAACAUAAGGGAUUAUAAACUCUAGCCCCUUCAUCAGCUAGGAAUUAUAAACUCUAGCCCCUUCAUCAACUAGGAAUUAUAAACUCUAAUUCCUAAACUCAACAUCUAGGAAUUAUAGACUCUAAUCCCUAAACAACUUACAAAUCUGUCUAGGUUGUGAUUCCAAGUUUCCAAGUCACGCCAACUUGAAAACAAACUCCUAUUCCAAUUUAUAACACACUGGAAAUUAUGAAACCAAAUGAUUAAAACUUGAAGAACAAGCCUAAUACAUUCAAGCUAAACUCUUGCUAGAUCCUCUAUGUAUGAACCUAGUCCUUCUAGGAGUUUCUUCACCAACACCUCAAGAAUCUACUCUGACUUUUGCCUUUGCUUUGUAUGAGUGCCCAAAUGACUUUGUAGAAUCUCUUCGGUAUUUAUAGAUAUUGGUGCUUGCUUCUUCUAAGUCAGUUUGCUUUUCCUUCAAAGGAAACCCAUUCCUUUUUGGAACCCAAUUGAGGACUCAUAUUCCUUCUUGGAAAACUUUUUUGCCUUCCUUUCAUACUUUCUUUCCUUGCAUGGGUUCACCUAAUUAGGUAUUAUUUUGUAGUAAGGAAUCCAUAUAUCGAUUCAACAUCAUUAAUUCUUCAACUUGUAUUAUUCCAUGUCAUCAAAGUCAAACAAACAACUCUUCUUUACUGUAGGAUAUCUUUGUCUAGAAGGACCAUGUUUGUUGACUUAUUUCACUAUCUACUACUUUUUUCACCACUACCUUUUCUUUUUCAAAAUCAUUACACCAUCAUGUUCUAACAAAUUCACCCCUUUUUAUGAUGGCAAACAAUUGCCAUUGUGCUUCCUGUGAAUUCCAUAUCUUUAAAAUUUGAGAUAAAUCACUAAGUACAAAUAACAAGAAACACUUUGAUGGAUCAGGUUAGUCAAGGGAUAUUAACAUUUCCCAAUCCCUUCUUCCCCCUUUUGGUUUCAUAGAAAAGCUAAGCAUAUAGAUAAUAUAAAAGCCAAAGUUAUUCAUGGACACAAGGGUUAUCGCUAAGAUAAUCAAUCUUAAGAAAACCAACUAAUUUAAAGAAUUAAAAAGAGUAAGAACAUUAGCAAAGUAGGCAAAAGACAAACAUUUAAUUAAUAAGACCUAAAUAUGCACUACUGAAUACUACUAAUUAUUAAUGAAACAAUUAACUUGAGCAAAAAAAUGGAAGGCUAGAUAAGUGUAAAGAUGCUAAGGGUCUGUGUUGAAGAGGGGGUGGAACAAGUGGGAGGAGAUGUAUCAACCUUUGAACUAUUUUAAUAUUUUCAUCCCUUAUAUUCUUUAAUUCUACUUCCAACUAAGCGAUUCUAGCCUCAAGGGGUACUCUUUCAAGUACAUGAGCAUCUUGAACAACCUCCAAUUCUUUAGUCUUAGAAACCAAUGGAUUCUUUAAAUUUUGCAGUGGAGUCUCAGAUUUCUUCACUGAAUCAGGUGAAACAACAUGUUUCCAUUCUACCUAGAACAUCCUUUGUGUUUAGAGAGUUCCAACACUUGUACAUAAACUGAAUGUCCUAUAAUAUCUAAGCUACAUCUUCUGUGAUUAGAUAAAUUUGAACUCUAAAAAAUGAUCUAACCUCAACAAUUGGUAUAAAAUUUCCUAACUUUGGAAAGCUCAAACUUUCUUUGAACAUUUAUUUGUGAAUUAGGUAGACCAAUCCUAAAACUCUAAUUUUUCAAGUAUAGUUGCCAUCUCAGGACAUCAUAAUUAGUAACCAUAUAACCCCUCACUACAAGCCUCUUUUGGAAGUAAAGAAUGUGGCCCCACUUUGAAUUAGAGACACCAAAUGUGUUAAUUUGUUUAGGGUUAUCAUCUUCAGUAACUUCUGAGUCAGAUUAUCAGAGGGAAUAGAUUGACUCAUUUGUUUCUUUGAUUUGAAUCUAGAAGAGGAUUUUGUCAUGGAGAAAGUUUUGGAUUUUAUAGUAAGGGAUAAUUUAGAUACUAUUUUUGAGGGAGGUGUUGUGAUAACUCUUACAGUUCUUUGAAAAGAUGGAAAAAUUUAAGUUUUUAGCAAUUUUUUGAAUGAUUGUUUAUGAACAAGUGAGAAGAAAUAGGUACGCUCAAGUGUUUCAUUAGAUAGUAAUAACAAUAUAGUGUAAGCACAUACCUGAAGAUACAAGAUUUGAAGUGUCCAAUGCUAACUAGCCUUGCAUAUCCACUCAAUCUAAUAUAAAAAUAGGUCAAUAAUAUCAAAUAACUGGACUUGGGACACACAAUUAAAUGAGGAAGACUAAACAAACUAACCAUAUAACUUUCAUUCAUAUCAUAUUAAUGCAUUGUUAGUUCUAGCCAAUUAUGGAGAGAGAUUUCAUACAAUUUUAAUCUUUCCCAAGUAUAACCUAUUCUUUUCAUGCUUUUCCCUACUCAAUUCCUUAGUAAAAAUAUCAAAACUUUUUUUAGUGGAGCAAAACAGGAUAGAUACAUGACCCCUUUUAAAAAUUACCUCUAAGAAAACAGUGUCUCAUACCAAUUUGUUUGGUACUCUUUUACUGAAAUGAAUUCUUGGAAAUAUUGAUGGAACUUAUGUUUUCAUAAAGGAUGGGAAUACACCCUACACACAUACUAAAAUCUAACAGUUUUGCUUGAUCCAUAGAAGUUGAGCACAACAACAAAAUUAGCAGUAAAAUAUUCAACUUCAGCAGUUGACAAAGCAAUAGAAUUUUGCUUUUAGUGGACUAAUUCAUCAGACAUGGUCUAAGAAAGUGUGCCACACAUGACAUGGAUUUUCUAUCAACUAGAUAACCUGUAUAAUAAGUAUCUGAGUACCAUACAAGAUCAAAAUUACUUUCUUUGGGAUACCCUAACCCCAAAUUAAUUGUUCCUUUUAAAUGUUUUAUCAUUUUUUCACAGCUCAAAGUGAGAUUCUUUGGGCUUGGCUUGGAAUAUUGCACAAAGUCCAACCUAAAAAUUAUGCCAUAUCUACUUAAUGUAAGAUACAAUAGAGACCCAAUCAUACCUCUACAGUUUCUCCUUCACAUAUGGAUUAGGUUCAUCAUGAUUUAGUUUUGUGGCAGUGGCAAUAAGAGUAUUGAUCACCUUGGAUUCCUCUAUCUUAAGAUUUUUGAGAAAAUCUUCCAUAUAUUUCAGCUGGUGAACUUUAAAUAUUUUCCUGAAUAGAUGAAUAUGAGUCCUUAUAUGACCCAUACUCUUAUUUUGUUGUUCCCCUGUCAAUGUGCCCUUAGUCUAUUCAUCAGAAAGAUCAGUUAGUGCAACCAAUUCCAUUACAUGAUGUCUUACUUUAUUUUCAUCCUUGUUUUUUUAUUGAAUGGAGUUCUCACCUGCUCUCCCCUUACACGUGGACUGCAUGUCUUGCCAUCUUUGAACUUAUUUUUAGGAAUCCCUAUGAUUAAGUCCUUAGAGACAAUUUGUUUAACAUACUUGCGUGACCAAGUCUCUUGUGCCAUAGUAGAUAAAAUGUGAUAUCAAAGCUUGAACCUCCCAAGAUGAAAGCUUUGUACACAUUCUUGUACCUUCUAAUAGUAAGCACAACUUCCUUUUCAUCCAUCUUCUUGUAAUACCCCAUACUUUUUCCUAGCUAAUUUCAUCUCAAGAAUGUCUAGUAUUAGCCUCUAAAUUGAAUGAUGGUUAUUCCAUGAGAAAUUUUCAAGAUUUUCAAUUUUUGACAUGUGGGAAAUUCAAUAAACUUUCCAUCGAUAUAAGAUUUUCCCAAAUCCAAUAACCGGGUUAGAAGUAAUGACUAUUUUAAGUUCCCAUCAUAAAAUAGUGCCAUAUUGGCUAGUAGCAUGUCGCGCCACAAGCUAAAAUGGCUAUUGUCCUAUUCUAGUGUCUUAGCGUGAUUUCCUCCGCGUCGCGCCAAAGUUCCAAGUCGCAAAAGAAGGUUCAACGCGAUGGCUCCGCAUUGCGCCAUCUCUCAAUUUCUCAAUUGUCAAAAUCCAGCGACACGACGCGAUAGCACCGCCUCGCACCAAGUUUCCAAUUCGAGAAUUUUUUACUAAAAUUAAAUGAUGCUUCCAGGGUUAAAAGGGUCAAAUUUCCACCCCUAUUUAAGCCCUUUAACACGUGAUUCAACCAUUUUUCACAAAAAUAUACUAGUUUCUCUCAAGUUUCUCUCAAGAACAAGCUAGGGUUUUCAUAGAAGAUCCAAUUUCAAGAAGGUUUCACCAUUAAGCCUCAUGAAAGCAUGAACUAAGGUUGCAUAGUGGUCAUUCAUGGACUCCUUUCGUCCAUGAAGCCCAAGAAUCCCUUUUCUAAAUUCAAUUUUAUGGAUUUUCUUAUGAAUUUCAUGAUUGGACUACUCUUGUUCAUGUGGAUAGUGAGAAAUUAAAUUCUACUUCAUGUUGGGUGAUAAAUUCUAUGUGGGCUAAAUUAUUAUAGAUAUAGAUUCAUGCAAACCUAUGACUAAACCCUUGAAUAAUGAAAUUAGAAUUAAACCAUGAUGUUUAAUUAUUGUACAAUGAUUUUACAUGUACCAUGCCUACAAUAUGUUUGAUUAAAUGCCCAGAUAAAGGAAAAGUGCCUAACUAGCAUGAUACCAUGAAAUCCCCAUAUAUGUACAAGUUAUGCCUAUCACAUUUUUUGAUGAAAUGCUUCUAUAAAUGUAUUAUGGAUUAUAUUAGUUAUUUAUUCAAGUAAGUUAUGCUUGGUCAGUUUCCUUCCAUCGAGUCUAGGGGGUACUCAUACCUGAAACAUUAGCUGUGUGCCUAAAGCCAUAUCAUGUUUUCACGAUACUCUCAGUCAAGCUAUGAAUCCUUAGACUUCAAACAGUCUUAUGGCUAAGGAAAUCUCCAUGAUCUUAUGAACUCAGUCAGUUGUCAGCUAUCAAUAGUAUUCCAUCAGUCAACGAAAUUUAGUAACUCAACCUAUGUUCAGUUCAGUAAAUCAUGUUCAGAGUCUAUUCAGAUGAGAGUAGGAAUUAGCACCGAGUGAACCCAAGGAUAGAAACAUACACUAUCAGAUGAGAGUGUGAUUCUUAGAAGUCAUUCUUGUAUUCCAUAACUAUAUAGCCAGCAUAGGUUGAGAUAUCAAAACUGUCUAAUGAGGGUUGAUGAGAUGGAUAAGCACAGUCAGAUAAAGUCCCCAUUGUUCUUUUUUGGGGAUACUAUCAGAUGAGGGUCACUCACAGCUUGUCUUUAUCAGUGGUGCGGUAUUGAAACCCUUAUAAUUGGGGUUACAGAUUGGACCCCAACUCAGCAAUAAUGGCGUAUCAGGGGCAUGUCGGUUAGAUAACUUCUUCCCACAGUUUUAUGUUAUAGAAUUAGGACUAUCAGAUCUAGUCAACCAGUGUCAGUAAUAGAACUCAGAUAGUUCUUCAGAUUUCAGGACAGUCAAAUACAAUUAACUCAGGUCCAGUACGAAACUUGAAUAGUUUCAUCAAAUUUAGGAUUGUCAGAUAAAGUCACUCAUGUUAUCAGUUAUAUUCAGAUUCAAUAACUAUGUUAUCACAGUAUUAGUGUUAGUUGUUAUGUCUCAUGUAUAUAUUCUCACGCUCAUGAUAGUUAGAAAGUUAUUAUUUUUAUUUAUGCAUAUGAACCCCAUGCAUUCAACCUACCUCACAUGCAUACCAGUACAUUCAAAGUACUGGCGCAUUUGUGCUAUGGUGUCUUAUACCAUAGGUUCAAAGACACGAGUUCCAAAGCAACAGUAGAUUCCAGAUACCUGCAGACAGAGUUAGAAGUGAGUUCUCAUCUUUUGAGGACAUGAUUAUUUCCCUAUUAUCUCAUAAUCAGUUUAUUAGUUGGAGUUAUUUGGGGACCUGUCCCAUUAACUCCUUACUCAGUCAGUUUAGUCAGUCAGAGGCUUUCAAGAAUAUCAUAUUUCAGACUUCAAUAUGUUCAGUUUUAUUUUGGGUAUUCUAUUACCCCACACAGAUGUUUUAUCAUUCAAAUCAUGUUCAUUAUUGAACCUUUUGGCCUUUCAGUUUAUGUGUCUGCAUUAUAAAGUAUUUAUGCAGUAUAUAGGUACAAAUAUCAAUCAUGGGUUAGCUUGUGGUCCUUCAAGAUUAUGAGCACGCUGUAGCAUUUUGGGUACCAGAUUUGAGGCGUUACAAACUUGGUAUUAGAGCCUAAGGUUCAAUAGAGUCCUAGGAAGUCUGAAAGCCGAAUCUAGUAUAGUCUUGUACAUGGGUGUGUUGCGCGCCACAUUUAUGUACAGGAGGCUAUAAGAUAUUUUAGGAAUAGUUUCCAUUCUUUCAGUAUUCAUGUCAUGUCAGUGAGCAUAAUGUCAAGUCAAUCUCUCAGUUUAAUCUAUUUCCCCCUUUCUUCUACAGAAUAUGCCUUCUAAAAAAAGAAAUGAAAAUCAGUUAGCCCCUCAGCCCGAAGAUCCUUUAGGAGAUCAUGUUUUCAUGCGGAGUUCAGGGCCGUAUUUACUACUCUUGCUCAGUUAGUUGCCACUCAAAAUGAAUGGCCAAAAGUCAUUCCAACCAAUCCAUUGGCCACUUCAUCCGCAGCUAGGAUUUGGGACUUUACCCGAAUGAAUCCUUCGUUCUUCCUCGGGUCUAAGGUAGAUGAGGACCCUCAGGAAUUCAUUGAUCAGGUUUAGAAGGUGAUAGACAUCAUGGGGGUGACUACUGUAGAGAGUUUUGAGCUUGCUACAUAUUAGUUACAGGAUAUGGCUCAUACUUAGUUCAAAUAGUGGAAGUCAUAGAGGUCAGAUGAUGCAGGUCCUAUAGAGUGGGAGGAGUUUGUCACUGCAUUCUUAGACAAAUUCUUUCCCCAAGAGCUUAGAGAGGCUAAGGUGCUAGAAUUCAUCAACCUCAGGUAGGGCAAUAUGUCAGUGAAAGAUUAUUCUCUUAAGUUUAUUCAAUUAGCCAGAUAUGCCCCUAUGUGGUUGCAGACAACAGAGCCAAGAUAAGUAAGUUUGCUUCAAGGGUAAAUAAUAGCAUGGUAAUAAGUGCAGAUCUGCCAUGCUGAACAGUGACAUGACUUUAGCCAGGCUUAUGAAUCAUGUUCAGCAGAUAGAUAAGCAGAAGAUUAAGCAGAGGGAGAAGCAGAAUAAGAGGGCGAAGACAUGUAGUUUUAACUUUGCUCAACCUAAAUCAGAAGGAGAAAACUGUUCCCAGUUUUGUCCUAAGUCAUCAGUUCCAACUCUUUCUUCAGCCAGUGCUCCAGGUCCUAAGUUCAGGGAGGUUAACAGAGAUAGAGCACCAGGCUCUAGGUCUCAGGGCAUGUUAGCAAUGCCCGAACUAAUCCCCUUUGUCAAACUUAUGGUAAGAACCACAAGGGUUCUUUCAGACCUAGUAGCGAUGUCUAUUUUGGUUGUGGAAAGCUAGGCCACAGAGUUAGAGACUGCCUUCAAUCAGGUUAUCAGAGUCAUCUCCACUCCUCAGCUCAGUCUGUUGCUCAAAUCAGCAGGGUGCCACCACCAGUGCUACUAGUGGGAAACACCCAAAUCGUCUCUAUGCUCUUUAGUCCCGAAUGGAUCAGGAAAAUUCUCGUGAUAUAGUAACUUAUACAUUACAGAUUUUUCAUGUGCAUAUUUAUGCUUUGCUAGAUCUAGUAGCUUCUUUGUCUUUUAUUACUCCCUAUAUAGCAGGCGAUUUUGGAAUCAGUCCCUAAAUCCUAGCAGAGCCCUUUUCAGUCUCUACCUCAGUCGGUAAAACCAUCAUAGCCCGGUGGGUAUAUAGGAACUGCCCGAUUAUGAUAUUUCAGAAAGUCACUUCAGUAGACUUAGUCAAAUUAAUAAUGAUUGAUUUUGAUGUCACUCUCGGCAUGGAUUGGCUUCAUUCCUAUUAUGCCUCAGUCGACUACAGAAAUAGAAUUGUCCAGUUUUAGUUUCCAAAUAAGCCCGUCCUAGAGUGGAGGGUAGUACUUCAGCACUUAGGGGUCAUCUUGUUUCAUACUUAAGGGCAAUAAAAUUGAUAUCUAAGAAAUGUGUCUACCAUCUAGUUUGAGUCCAAGACUCUAGUUUAGAAACCCCUACUCUUGAGUCAGUAUUAGUAGCAUGUGAAUUCCUAGACGUAUCUACUAAAGAUCUUCUCGAAGUUCCUGCCAAAAGGGAAAUCGACUUCGGAAUAGACCUUCUUUUAGAUACUCAGCAAUUCCACCAUACAGAAUGACACCAGCAAAACUUGGCGAACUAAAAGAACAAUUGAAGGAUCUCUUAGAUAAGAGAUUCAUUAGGCCUAGCAUUUCCCCGUGGGGUGCUCCAGUAUUAUUCGUGCGCAACAAAGACGGUUCUUUUAUGAUGUGUGUAGACUACCGUCAACUCAAUAAGGUCAUGAUCAAGAACAAGUAUCCUCUUCCCAGAAUCGAUGACGUGUUUGAUCAACUUUAGGGUGACAGUUAUUUUUCUAAGAUAGACCUCAGAUCCGGCAAUCAUCAUCUCAGAGUUAGAGAAUGUGACAUUCCAAAAAAAGCUUUUCGUACUCGGUAUAGUCAUUUCAAAUUCUUAGUUAUGUCCUUCGGUAUUACCAAUGCCCCAUCAACUUUUAUGGACUUAAUGAACCGUGUGUUCAAGUAGUACUUGGACAUGUUCAUCAUAGUCUUCAUAGAUUAUAUUCUGGUCUACUCUCGCAGUAAGCGUGAUCAUGCAGACCAUCUCAGAACAGUACUUCAGACUCUCAGAGAUCAUUAGCUAUUCGCCAAAUUUAGUAAGUGCAAAUUUUGGCUAAGGUCAGUAGCAUUACUUAGUCAUAUCAUUUUUGGUGAUGGCAUUAGAGUUGAUGCUCAAAAGACCAAAGCAGUAAGAAACUAGCCUCGCCCUGUCUCUCCAUCAGAUAUCAGGAGUUUCUUAGGUUUGGCUAGCUAUUACAGGCAGUUUAUCAAGGGAUUUUCUUCUAUUGCAUCCCCUAUGUCCAGAUUGACUCAGAAGAAAGUCAAGUUUUAGUGGUCAGAUCCUUGUGAGAAGAGUUUUCAGGAGUUGAAGACUUGACUCACCUAAGCUCUAGUAUUAGCUCUUCCAGAUGGUCCAGAUAGUUUCGUAGUAUAUUGUGAUGCAUGCAGAGUAGGUUUGGAUUGUGUCCUCAUGCAGUAUGGUAAGGUCAUAGCCUACGCCUCCAGACAACUUAAGCCCCAUGAGAGAAAUUAUACUACUUAUGAUCUUGAGUUAGCAGUCAUAGUCUUUGCCUUGAAGAUUUGGAGGCAUUAUCUAUACAAUGUUCACAUAGAUGUGUUCAUUGACUAUAAAAGUCUUCAGUAUGUCUUUUCUCAAAAUGAUCUCAAUCUUCGUCAGAGAAGGUGGUUAGAGCUCUUAAAAGAUUAUGACAUGAGUGUCCUUUAUCAUCCAGGCAAGGCCAACGUAGUGGCCGACGCUCUCAUUAGACUAUCCAUGGGUAGUAUUUCUCAUGUUAAGGACUGUAAGAAGAAGUUAGCUCAGGAAGUCCAUCAUCUUGCUAGACUAGGCAUUCACUUAGUCGAUACAGAAGAGGGUGAUAUAUGGGUUCAGAGUAGUUCAGAAUUAUCUCUAGUUUCCGAGGUGAAAGAAAAGCAAGAUUUAGAUCCCAACCUUGUCAAGUUAAAAGAGUCAGUCCAGGAUCAGAAAGUAGAGGUUUUCUCCCAAGGGGGAGAUGGUGUCCUUUAUUGUUAGGGUUAUCUCUAUGUUCCAGGUGUAGAUGACUUAAGGCAGCAAAUUCUUGCAAAAGUGCAUGGUGUGCGCUACUGUACUGAUCCAGGGGCCACAAAGAUGUAUCGCAACUUGUGGGAAAUCUAUUAGUAGAGUGGGAUAAAGAGACAUUGCAGAGUUUGUGGCUAAGUGCCCUACAUGUCAGCAGGUUAAGAUAGAGCAUCAAAAGCCUAGUGGGUCCAUGCAGGAGUUCAGUAUUCCUAGUUGGAAGUGGGAAGUUGUGAACAUGGAUUCGUGAUGGGUUUGCCUUAAACUCGUCAUCAGUAUGAUUCAGUCUGGGUCAUUAUAGAUAGAAUGACCAAAUCAACUCAUUUCCUUCUAGUUCAUACCUCUUAUUCAAUCGAGGAUUAUGCCAAACUCUACCAUAAGGAGUUGGUCAAAUUGCACGAUGUUCCAUUGUCCAUUAUCUCAGACAGAGGUACCGAGUUCACCUCUCAUUUCUAGAAAGCAUUCCAAAAGGGUGUUGGUACCCAAGUUCAUCUUAGUACAACCUUUCAUCCUUAGAUAGAUAGUCAAGCAGAAAGGAACAUUCAGAUGUUAGAAGAUAUGCAAAGGGCAUGUGCAAUCGAUUUUAAGAAAAGUUGAGAUGACUACUUAUCUAUGAUUGAGUUUGCAUACAACAACAACUAUCAUUCCAGUAUUCAGAUGGCUCCAUUCGAAGCUCUCUACGGUGGGAGAUGUAGAUCUCCAAUUGGUUGGUUUGAAGUUAGUGAGACUUCAAUCAUAGGUCGUGACUUGUUAUUCGACGCCUUAAAAAAGUCCAGUUGAUUAGAGAAAGACUUCAGGCUGCUCAGAGCCGAUAGAAGUCUUAUGCAGAUGAUCGUAGAAAAGAUCUCGAGUUUGAGAUUGGUGAUCAUGUCUUUCUAAAGAUCUCUCCCAUGAAGGGAGUAAAGAGAUUCAACAAGAAGGGAAAGCUCAGUCCCCGAUAUGUUGGUGCCUUCAAGAUUCUCAGUCAUUUUGGCAAGGUAGCCUAUGAGCUUGAAUUGCCUUUAGAUCUAGCCUCAGUUCAUCCAUUCUUUCAUGUCUCUUUGCUCAAGAAGUGUAUAGGUGACCCAUCAGUUUUAGUUCCUAUUCAGAGUAUUGAUGUUCAGAACACUCUCUCUUAUGAAGAGAUUCCAAUCGAAAUCUUAGACUAUUAGACUCAUAGAUUGAGGAACAAAGAAGUCCCUCUAGUUAAGGUUCUUUGGCAAAAUCAAUCCGUCGAGGGAGCUACUUGGGAAGUAGAGGCAGAUAUACGUACUAAGUAUCCUUACCUCUUCUUCGCCAACUCAGAUCAAGCUCAAGGUAACAGUUCUCCUUAAGCUUGCUCAGUUUCAUGUUUAGUGUUCAUCACAAACUUGGUAUGCUGUUUCAUGCUCAUGUUUCCAUUAUAAACUUGGUAUCAAGUACCAUUGCAUAUUCAGUCAUGCACUCAUGUAUCAAUUUAGUUAUGUAAUUAUGCAUCAGAUAUGCAUUCUCAUUGUGAGAAACUCAGUUCUUCAAAACACACAAUCAUGCAUUCAUAAAUCAGUUACACAUGUAUCAGAUAUGCAUGUUCAUUAUAAUAUAUUCAUAUUGUCAGUCAUGUCAAUCAUGAGAUCAUGUUCUAGUUAUUCAUGUUCAGUAUGUACAUCAGUUGUCUUUUCUCCCCUCUCAGUCAGUCUUAAUCGUGGAUGAAUAUUCUCAAGGGGGAGAUAUUCUAAUACCCCGUACUUUUCCUUAGCUAAUUUAAUCUCAAGAAUGUCUUGUAUUAGCUUCUAAAUUGAAUGAUGGUUAUUUCAUGAGAAAUUUUCAAGAUUUUCACUUUUUAUCUUGUGAAAAAUUUAAUAAGCUUUCCAUCGAUAUAAGAUUCGCCCAAAUCUGAUAACUGGAUUAGAAGUUACGACAAUUUCAAGUUCCCGUCGUAAAACAACACAAUAUUGGUCAGUGGCGCACCGCACCACGAUAUGAAAUGGCAAUUGUACUUUUCCAGUGUCUCAGUGCAAUAUCCUCUGUGUCGCACUAAAGUUUUAGGUCGCAAAAGAAGGGGCAACACGAUGGCUCCGCAUCACGCCAUCCCUCAAUUUCCCAAUUAUCAAAAUAGCACUGCAUCACUCUAAGGGUCCGAUUCAGGAAAUUUUCACUAAAAUUCAAUGAUGCGUCCAGGGUUAAAAGGGUUAACUUCCCACCCUUAUUUAAGCCCUUUAACACGUGAUUCAACUAUUUUUCACCCAAAAUAUACUAGCUUCUCUCAAGAACAAGCUAGGGUUUUCAUAGAAGAUCCAAUUUCAAGAAGGUUUCACUGUCAAGCCUCACAAAAUCAUGAAUCAAGGUAUGCAUAGUGUUCAUUCAUGGACUCCUUUUGUCCACGAAGCCCAAGAAUACCUUUUCUAAAUUCAAGUUUAUGGAUUUUCUUAUGAAUUUCAUGAUUGGGCUGCUCUUGUUCAUAUGGAUAAUGAGAAAUUGAAUUCUACUCCAUGUUGGGUGAUACAUUCUAUGUGGGCUAAAUUAUUAUAGAUAUAGAUUCAUGCAAACCUAUGACUAAACCCUUGAAUAAUGAAAUUAGAAUUGAACCAUGAUGUUUAAUUAUUGUACAAUGAUUUUACAUUUACCAUGCCUACAAUAUGUUUGAUUAAAUGCCUAGAUGAAGAUAAAAUGCCUAACUAGCAUGAUACCAUGAAAUUCCCAUAUAUGUACAAGUUAUGCCUAUCACAUGUUUUGAUGAAGUGCUUCUAUAAAUGUAUUAUGGAUUAUGAUGUUAGUUAUAUAUUCAAGUAAGUUAUGCUUGGUCAGUUUCCUUUCAUCGAGUCUUGGGGGUACUCGUACCCAAAACAUUAGUUGUGUGCCUAGAGCCAUGUCAUGUUUUCACGAUGCUUUUAGUUAAGCUAUGAAUCCUUAAACUUCAGACAGUCUUAUGACUCAGGAAAUCUCCAUAAUCUCAUGAACUCAGUCAGUUGUCAGAUAUCAAUAGUAUUUCGUCAUUCAAUGAAAUUCAGUAACUCAGCCCAUGUUCAGUUCAGUAAAUCAUGUUCAGAGUCUAUUCAGAUGGGAGUAGAAAUUAUAACCGAGUGAACCCAAGGAUGGGAACACACACUAUUAGAUAAGAGUGUGAUUCUUAGAAGUCAUCCUUGCGUUCCAGAACUAUGUAGCCAGCAUAGGUUGAGACAUUAACACUGUCCGAUGAGGGUUGUCAAAUAUGAGCCCCACCAUUCUCUUUUUGGGACACUAUCAGAUGAGGGUCACUCAUAGCUUGUCCUUACCAGUGGCGCGGUAUUGACACCCUUCCAAUUGAGGUUACAGAUUGGACCCCAACUCAGCCAUAAUGGCAUAUCAGUGGCAUAUCGGUUAGAUAACUACUUCCCACAGUUUUAUGCUAUAGAAUUAGGACUGUCAGAUAUAGUCAAUCAGUCUUAGUAAUAGAACUCAUAUAGUUCUUUAGAUUUCAGGACUAUCAGAUACAAUCAACUCAGAUACAGUACAGAAAUCGAAUAGUUCCAUCAGAUUCAGGACUGUCAGGUACAGUCACUCAUGUUAUCAGUUAUAUUCAGAUUCAGUGAUCAUGUUAUCACAGUAUUAGUGUCAGUUGUUAUGUCUCAUGUAUGUAUUCUCACGCUUAUGAUAGUUAGUCAGUUAGUAUUUUUGUUCAUUCAUAUGAACUCAUGUAUUUAGCCUACCUCACAUGCAUACCAGUAUAUUCAAAGUACUGACGCAUUUGCGCUAUGGUGUCUUAUACCAUAGGUUUAGAGACACGAGCUCCAGAGCAACAGUAGAUUCCAGAUAUCUACAAACAGAGUUAGGAGUAAGUCCUCAUCUUUCGAGGAUAUAAUUAUUUCCCUAUUAUCUCAUUAAUCAGUUUAUUAGUUGGAGUUAGUUGGGUACAUAUCCCAUCAACUCCUUACUCAUACAGUUCAAUCAGUUAGAGACUUUUUGGACUAUCAUCUUUCAGACUUCAGUAUGUUCAGUUUUGUUUUGGGUAUUAUAUUACCCCACAUAGAUGUUAUAUCAUUCAGAUCAUGUUCAGUAUUGAACCUUAUGUCCUUUUAGUUCAUGUUUCCACAUUUAAAGUAUUUUAUGCAGUAUACAGGUACAGAUAUCAAUCAUGGGUUAGCUUGUGGUCUUUCGGGGUCAUGAGCAUUGUGUAGCAUUCCAGGUACUAGAUUUGGGGCGUUACACUUCUAAACCUUGCAACCUGUUGAAGUAAAGGCUACUUUGUUGCUUUAUCACAUAGUUGAGAGAUGUUCAGUAUAUUGUGUUUCAAUCCAUCUAUACUUUUCUCCAAGGCCUUGUUUUCAGUUCUUCCAAUCUUUUUAACUCCAUUAAUGGUCCUUUUUUUUAUUAAGAGUACAUCUCCUCCUACUAUGGUGAGUGAAAGGAGUUUUUGUUUGUUUCCAAUCAUAUGUCCUCAGCAAGCACUAUCUAUGUUCUAAUGUCGCUUUCCACCUUUCAUACCUGAAAAAUACUUUUGAGAUUAGAUUUAGGCACCCUAACAGGCUUGGGUCCUUAUAAAUAAAGGGGUGAAUAAAGACUCUUCUAGCCCAUGCUAUCAAUAGGUUAGUGAAGAAGUUUCUUUUGACAAGAGCAACCUUACUAUUUUCAACAAUUAUAAACUAAGUUCUUCUCACUAUAUUGAACUUCUUCUUCUCAAGAGGAGUGAACUUAUUUCUUGUGGUAGGUUUCAUAUUUUUCCUUUUGACAAACUCAAUAUUUCUCUUCAUCCCUUCAUUGCCUUUUAGGACACUCAGUGAUAAGUUGUCCUAGUUUUUCACAUAGAUAACAUAAAUUAUUUGUGUAAUACCCCGCACUUUUGGGCUAGAAUUUGAAUCAUCCUUCAUACGUGUAGAGGAUCGAACCCAAUAAUUUCUAUUUAGAUAUAAGUUUGAAGAUUAAUUCUCUAUUAUGGAAACAUUUUUGGAGAUGAAUUGAGGUCAUACAAAUCCCCUAACUCAAAGUUGAAUUGAGAAUAUUCCUAUCGAUUGAGUUUUAGUAGACGUUCUUACUUUGGUCAAACUCCAAUGACCAUUACUCCUGGAAUAUGAUAAGUUAGGUUGCUUUUUACCUAUCAAAUUAAAGGUUUUUGAGUCUUCUUUUCAACACCAUAGACCGCCCAUCAAUACUGAUAAUCUACAUAACCUAUAUGUUUAUUUAUUUUUACUUAAGAUUGUCUAUCUAUAAAAUAGGCUACCUAAAGUGUUUGAAUGAAGUAGUAAAAUUUUAAGUAAAUGAAAAAAUUGUUUUUGUCUAGGAAACACUGAUAUCACAAAGUUGUAAGAAAAUCAUGACCUGCACCUUUACAGGAUUUAAUCCCUAACUUCACUAAGACAACUUGAGCCCCAACAACAAUAUAUUACAAUACUCUUGUAACCCAGGAAUUAUAAACUCUAAGUCCUAACUAGGCUCAAUUCACAAACCUCCCAAGGUGUCUGACCCCAAGUCUUCAAGUUCCCUAACUUGAAGAAAAUAAACCUAACUCAGUUUAUAGUUCACUAAAACUAAGAGUACAUCAACAUUACAACACUGUACCCAACUCUUAAUACGUAAAGACAAAGAUCUCUUAUCUUACUUUGUACUAGAACCAGGUUCAAUAAUGUGUUCCUUUAGUCUUCUAGUAUCACACUGCCAAGUCAAUUUGUCAAUUGCCUUUUUUGCUUUGUAAGUGUGUGCUGAUUUUGUAAAGCACUUCUUUUAUUCAAGCACAACUCUCCAAAUAGUUAUACAACUCAAACUCCUUUAAUCAAACCUCUUAUUGCUUAGAGUUCUACGUCAAGUAAGACUCCUCCAAUUCAAACUCAAGCUUCUUCAAGUGUUGUAGUCAAAUUUCAACUCUUCAAUUUUGCACAUAAUUUAGUUCAUUCAGUUUAUCAGAUUGUAACUAUUAUCCAUUCCUUCAUUCAAGCACAUUUGUCUCUAUUCACUUGUGAUCAUACUGCAAGUUAAGAUCCUUGAGAUAGUUUAUCUAUUGAACCAGCUGGACUAGUUUAUUUCUCUACUCUAUGUCAAUUAUCAAAACUACAUGGAUCUAACAAAUUCCCCUUUUAUGAUGAUGUCAAACUUUUGCCUUUGUGCAUUGCUCAUAGUUCACUUUGUAAACACAUUAGUAUAGAAUAUUUGAAUAAACAUGUUAGUCAAUGGGUUUUAAAUACUGCACAACUCUUGUUUUCCCUCUUUUGGUAUCAUCAAAAAAUAUGUUUAAGACCUGAUAUUUUAUUUAAUAAGGUAGUUACACUAAUCAUGGCCACUAGGUCUAUCACAGGCACAAUCGGGCUUUAGAUAGUAUAGUAAUAUAUUAAAGAGAGUAGAAAAAAGAAUCUAGUAAGCCAAAUGAGAACCAUAUCGUUCAUCAUCAGGAUAAUGUCAUCCAAUUGACAUAAAACAAAACAAAUCAAUUAAGCAACUGAGCAUAACAAAAAAAAUAAUUGAAGGACAUGGCUCAAGGAUAGGAGGACUAGGAAUGGAAGAAAAAAGAAGAUAGCAAUAACUGAGUGACGUGAUGAAUUGUAGCAAAAUUUUUAGGCUUUUCUGUAUCCAAAUCAGUCUGCAGAGCUACAAUCAUGGCUUCAAGAACCUCCUUUUCCCUUUGAUGAGUGGAUUGAGCAGCAUACAACUCAACAAUCUUCUCUACAAAAGUAUUCUCUGCCUUUUGUAAAAGAGUGUUGGCACGCUUCAUAGAAUCAGGUAAGGUAGCAUGGUUCACCCUUCCAGACACAUCCAUAGUCAUCUGAAACCCAAACAAAAACUAGAAGCCCAUAGUCCUAAAAAAUUGAAGCCAACAAGAACCCAUAGGCAAGGAAAUGACCAUUUUCAUCCUAAUUAGGGAUCCUAGUCAUAUGUUUGAUGAUCAAGCAUAGAAAGUCAAUUCAGACUUUAGUGUCUAGGAGUUCAAUCAAGGUCAGAUCCAAGUAAUUAGCCUUAGUUCUUUGCUUCUUCCUCUAAAUAAGAAUCCGAUGAACAACAUCAAAAUAAAGUUAAUGCAGCAGAGACAUCUUACAUUCUCAACUUAGCGGUGGUGAGUAAGAUUGGGCUGACCAAAAAACUUCUUGGUAAUGUCAAAAGCUGAAUCCAUGUUGGUCAACGGAGGCCAUUCAUACUUGAUAUAAUGACUCUAACCACUAGAAGGCACAUCUAAAAUCCUUACAACAUCAACAAUAGUGAUAUGAAUUGGAACACCAUUCACAUAUGAAGUAAAGAUAACCCCACCAAUUUUACCAUUAAUGUAAAACUCCAUAACCUCUUUUUUGCCAACUUACGCUAAACAGUACCCUGAAGAAGAAGAGAGCACCAACCUUGUGCUGCACUUUUGGUAAAAGAGGUAGUUAUGUCAAGCCUCCAAAACCAAUCAUGACUCCGCCACACACCAUAGAUUACUCUUAAAACUUGAUGAUAUGGUUAAGAGUGGGAUCAAUAGCUUCUUCUAUAGAAAUUGGAAACAACAGGAGGUCUAAGGCAGAGGGAGCAGGUCAAGAGAUCUAUUUCUUUGGUGCAAAAAAUGUGACUUUAGAGGAUUUUACAAAUUUUGAAAACUUGGAUUUCAAGGAUAAAGGAAGAGAGAAUUUAACAAACUUAGGCUUAGGUCUGGUAACGUUUUUUCCUUUGUGAACUCUGCUUAUAACAAAAUCAUCAUUUGAAGAAGGGGAAAAAAUAGAUGGAUUAGGAAUAUAGGAGCAAGGGCAAGAUUUCUUACUAGCUUAACUAUCUAUGUUGAGAGCUUCUUCCUUCUGUCUAUGCUUAUUUGGUAUGAGCAGGUGUUACGGAUGCUUCAACAGGGACUCAGUCUCGGGAAUUAUAUAACAUUGGCUUUUUACAAUCUGGAACAAUUCCUAUGAGGUACCAAAUUGGAAAUAGGAAUGUCAUCUAUAUCCAGAACAGAAAGAGGAACAGGUGGAUGAAUGGGUUCCAUAUGAGGCAUUAAUUUUGGAAAUUUCGAAGAGAUAGUCUAAGUCCAUUGAGUUAACUUGGUCCAACUCUAAAAACCUUGAGGGAGGAUGCCAAACAGAGGACUUUCAGUUGGAGAAUUUCUAGAUCCUCCCCCCUCACUAGGUGNNNNN